UUUAAGUGCAGCCAUGGUUUUCCGCGCUCAACUUUGAUCGUUCGUCUUAUUUAAAAAAAAUUAAAAAAAAUUAAAAACAUAAAUCACGAGUAAAGUACUAUUCAUGUUUUAUCAUCUUAUAACAACAAAAAUACUAAUUAUUAAAAAAAUAAAAAAGACGGACAAUUAAAGUUGGGCACGAAAACUCAUGGUUGCACUUAGA
rnacentral:pre_miRNA from 1 species